UGCGCCCGACUCGCCUCCCGCCGCGGGGUGCCGGCGGGCUACGCUGCGCCCCUCGGCGCCCACCCCGGCGGGGGCCCGGGCGGGGGUGUGUGUCCUCCAGGAGCUGCGGGGACCCCUGCGGCCGGACCUUGCGACCCGUUUUCCAAUCCCGCGGUGGCGACGGCGACAGCAACGGUAAUAUCGCCAGGAGAAAACAGAGGCCUCCCCAGCCACACUGGAAGGUACCAGCCAUUGCUGUCGCUCUCGGGAACUGCUACACCAUCCUCCUUCCUGGUGUCCUGUGCCUGCCCCUUCCCACUGCCAUCAGCAGCCAGAGGGGUCCUGUUCAAAGCAAGGCAGCUACACACCGCCCCCCCUACCCCCCCCCCCCCCCGCACAGAACCUGCAAUGGCCUCCCCACCAUGGUUAGUCCACAACCCGACCAGAUACGAUCCAGCAAUUCCACUUCUGGGUCGGCACCCACGAGAAUUGAACGCAGGGACCCAAACAGAUAUUUGCACCCUAAGUUGAUAGCAUCAUUAUUCCCGAGAGCCAAGCAAUGGAAGCCAUCCAAGUGUCUGCCCACUGAUGAAUAAAGCAAAUGUGGCCUCUGCAUACGAUGGAAAAUGACUCAGCCUUAAAAACGAAAGAAAUGUUGACACAGGCUACAAACUCUGAGCCUUGAAGAUGCUGUGCUAAAUGAGAUAAGGCAGUCAAAGAAGGGCCGAUAUGGUAUCUGAAAGUUUCAUUGGAUUCAGGUUAGUAAAGAUGCUUUCUGAAGAGGAUGCUGCUGACGAGGACAGUGUUAAGAGGAUCUGUUUUCCACAUAGACCUUCCACCCGGCUCUCUCCUAGAUAUUUAAGCAAGAGAAAUGAAAAUGGAUGUCCACACAAAGACUUGUACUUGGAGGGGCAUUAUUCAUAAUGUCCCCAAACUGGAUAUUUGGGACAAGCCAAAUAUCAACAGGUGAACGGGAAACAAUUUGCAAUACAUCCAUAUGGUGAUUACCGCUCAGCAAUGAAAAGGAGCUACACCUUAGAUCCGUCUCAGAAUCACCGUGCUGAGUAAAAGAAACCAGAUGCGAAGGGCCACCUGCUGUAUACGGUGACUGAAAGCAGACCACUAACUGCCUGGAACCUGGGAAAGGAGGAAUUGACUGGAAGGUUGCAGCAGGAGGGAACAUUCCAGAAUGAUGGAUAUUUCCUUCCUAUAUCUCGAAUAUGGUGGGGAUGAUACUGGCAUAUAUGUCAGAACUCAUCACAGUGGCUACUUUAAAUGGGUGUGUUGUAUUGCAUUCAAUUAUAUCCCGGUGGGGUUUCGAGCAAAAGAGAAUCUAUGUAGAUCUCUGCUUCUGUGUGUUCUCUCUCCUAAAACCCAUAUGCCUGUGAAAGUGCCCGAGGUCCAAGGUGUUCCCUCCUUUACAAUUGUCCUUCCUCCACUGCACAGAAGUAAGGCAAUCCUUGUCACUCUUGUCAGGACCUACUGAGGAUGUGGUCGUUCUCCAGUAUAAAAACCUGGAUGCCAGACAAAAGCAUCAUGUGAAAUCACCGUGUGUGGCUAAGGAAAGAGAAUGACCCCAGAGACCAGCCAACACAUCCUGUUGCAGUUCUGAUGGUUUCCUCUCUCCUUCCAAUCUCCAUGGAGGAGGCAUGGCUUGUUGGGUGAUAGAUGACUACAAAUAAUUUCUGAUAAUGAGUGACAAUGUGAUAUGUGGCAAAUUACACAGGAGUUUCAACAUGUGUGACCUUGAGUCACUUAGCAAUGACAAAAUUUCCAUUCCAGUCCCCUGUUUCUGUGAAAACAUUUCUCAGUAUUUACUACGGUAAAAACAAAAAAUUGGAAUAACACUUAUCCUAAACUCUGUCCCAUUCCAGCCAUGAGGAAUAUGUAUCCACAGGUAGAUGAACCUGAAACACACACACACACACACACACACACACACACACACACACACACACACACCACCAGCCCCAUUCAUCUCAUUAAAAGCCUCAUUUAGGGGACACCUGGGUGGCUCAGUUGGUUAAGCAAACAACUUAGGCUCAGGUCAUGAUCUCAUGGUUCUUGAAUUCGAGCCCCAUGUCAGGCUCUGAGCUGUCAGCACAGAGCCUGCUUUGGAUU